ensembl:snoRNA
CUGUGAAAUUAUGGCAAUUAUCUUUAAGGACUUACCUGAAAUGAAGAGAAAACUCAUUGCUGAUCACUU